GUAUUGGCGUGCCUCAAUCCGAAGGCGUGGCUGACUGGCGCGGCAGCCAUGUUCUUGGAUUGAGCCGCGUCAAUAUCU
rnacentral:pre_miRNA from 1 species